AACGAACGCUGGCGGCUGGCUUAACACAUGCAAGUCGAACGCCCCGCAAGGGGAGUGGCAGACGGGUGAGUAACGCGUGGGAACAUACCCUUUUCUACGGAAUAGCUCUGGGAAACUGGAAUUAAUACCGUAUACGCCCUACGGGGGAAAGAUUUAUCGGGGAAGGAUUGGCCCGCGUUGGAUUAGCUAGUUGGUGGGGUAAAGGCCUACCAAGGCGACGAUCCAUAGCUGGUCUGAGAGGAUGAUCAGCCACAUUGGGACUGAGACACGGCCCAAACUCCUACGGGAGGCAGCAGUGGGGAAUAUUGGACAAUGGGCGCAAGCCUGAUCCAGCCAUGCCGCGUGAGUGAUGAAGGCCUUAGGGUUGUAAAGCUCUUUCACCGAUGAAGAUAAUGACGGUAGUCGGUGAAGAAGCCCCGGCUAACUUCGUG
rnacentral:rRNA from 1 species